rnacentral:rRNA from 1 species
AGCGUACACGGUGGAUGCCCUGGCAGUCAGAGGCGAUGAAGGGCGUGCUAAUCUGCGAUAAGCGCCGGUAAGGUGAUAUGAACCGUUAUAACCGGCGAUACCCGAAUGGGGAAACCCAGUGUGAUUCGUCACACUAUCAUUAACUGAAUCCAUAGGUUAAUGAGGCGAACCGGGGGAACUGAAACAUCUAAGUACCCCGAGGAAAAGAAAUCAACCGAGAUUCCCCCAGUAGCGGCGAGCGAACGGGGAGGAGCCCAGAGCCUGAAUCAGCAUGUGUGUUAGUGGAAGCGUCUGGAAAGGCGCGCGAUACAGGGUGACAGCCCCGUACACAAAAGCGCAUGUGCUGUGAGCUCGAUGAGUAGGGCGGGACACGUGGUAUCCUGUCUGAAUAUGGGGGGACCAUCCUCCAAGGCUAAAUACUCCUGACUGACCGAUAGUGAACCAGUACCGUGAGGGAAAGGCGAAAAGAACCCCGGCGAGGGGAGUGAAAAAGAACCUGAAACCGUGUACGUACAAGCAGUGGGAGCCCCACCACUAAGCCAGUGGUGAACUCCACAUACGCAUCCUUUGCUGAGGAUACGGUUAACGGAGCGAAAGCGACGUUCAACCUCAAAAGAAGCAGAGGGGGCUUAGUGGUGGGGUGACUGCGUACCUUUUGUAUAAUGGGUCAGCGACUUAUAUUCUGUAGCAAGGUUAACCGUAUAGGGGAGCCGGAGGGAAACCGAGUCUUAAUUGGGCGUUAAGUUGCAGGGUAUAGACCCGAAACCCGGUGAUCUAGCCAUGGGCAGGUUGAAGGUUGGGUAACACUAACUGGAGGACCGAACCGACUAAUGUUGAAAAAUUAGCGGAUGACCUGUGGCUGGGGGUGAAAGGCCAAUCAAACCGGGAGAUAGCUGGUUCUCCCCGAAAGCUAUUUAGGUAGCGCCUCGUGAAUUCAUCUCCGGGGGUAGAGCACUGUUUCGGCUAGGGGGCCAUCCCGGCUUACCAACCCGAUGCAAACUGCGAAUACCGGAGAAUGUUAUCACGGGAGACACACGGCGGGUGCUAACGUCCGUCGUGAAGAGGGAAACAACCCAGACCGCCAGCUAAGGUCCCAAAGUCAUGGUUAAGUGGGAAACGAUGUGGGAAGGCCCAGACAGCCAGGAUGUUGGCUUAGAAGCAGCCAUCAUUUAAAGAAAGCGUAAUAGCUCACUGGUCGAGUCGGCCUGCGCGGAAGAUGUAACGGGGCUAAACCAUGCACCGAAGCUGCGGCAGCGACAUUUAGGUGUUGUUGGGUAGGGGAGCGUUCUGUAAGCCUGCGAAGGUGGCCUGUGAGGGUUGCUGGAGGUAUCAGAAGUGCGAAUGCUGACAUAAGUAACGAUAAAGCGGGUGAAAAGCCCGCUCGCCGGAAGACCAAGGGUUCCUGUCCAACGUUAAUCGGGGCAGGGUGAGUCGACCCCUAAGGCGAGGCCGAAAGGCGUAGUCGAUGGGAAACAGGUUAAUAUUCCUGUACUUGGUGUUACUGCGAAGGGGGGACGGAGAAGGCUAUGUUGGCCGGGCGACGGUUGUCCCGGUUUAAGCGUGUAGGUGUGUGUUCCAGGUAAAUCCGGUUCACUUUAACACUGAGGCGUGAUGACGAGGCACUACGGUGCUGAAGCAACAAAUGCCCUGCUUCCAGGAAAAGCCUCUAAGCAUCAGGUAACAUCAAAUCGUACCCCAAACCGACACAGGUGGUCAGGUAGAGAAUACCAAGGCGCUUGAGAGAACUCGGGUGAAGGAACUAGGCAAAAUGGUGCCGUAACUUCGGGAGAAGGCACGCUGACACGUAGGUGAAGUGAUUUACUCAUGGAGCUGAAGUCAGUCGAAGAUACCAGCUGGCUGCAACUGUUUAUUAAAAACACAGCACUGUGCAAACACGAAAGUGGACGUAUACGGUGUGACGCCUGCCCGGUGCCGGAAGGUUAAUUGAUGGGGUCAGCGCAAGCGAAGCUCCUGAUCGAAGCCCCGGUAAACGGCGGCCGUAACUAUAACGGUCCUAAGGUAGCGAAAUUCCUUGUCGGGUAAGUUCCGACCUGCACGAAUGGCGUAAUGAUGGCCAGGCUGUCUCCACCCGAGACUCAGUGAAAUUGAACUCGCUGUGAAGAUGCAGUGUACCCGCGGCAAGACGGAAAGACCCCGUGAACCUUUACUAUAGCUUGACACUGAACAUUGAGCCUUGAUGUGUAGGAUAGGUGGGAGGCUUUGAAGCGUGGACGCCAGUCUGCGUGGAGCCGACCUUGAAAUACCACCCUUUAAUGUUUGAUGUUCUAACGUGGACCCGUGAUCCGGGUUGCGGACAGUGUCUGGUGGGUAGUUUGACUGGGGCGGUCUCCUCCUAAAGAGUAACGGAGGAGCACGAAGGUUGGCUAAUCCUGGUCGGACAUCAGGAGGUUAGUGCAAUGGCAUAAGCCAGCUUGACUGCGAGCGUGACGGCGCGAGCAGGUGCGAAAGCAGGUCAUAGUGAUCCGGUGGUUCUGAAUGGAAGGGCCAUCGCUCAACGGAUAAAAGGUACUCCGGGGAUAACAGGCUGAUACCGCCCAAGAGUUCAUAUCGACGGCGGUGUUUGGCACCUCGAUGUCGGCUCAUCACAUCCUGGGGCUGAAGUAGGUCCCAAGGGUAUGGCUGUUCGCCAUUUAAAGUGGUACGCGAGCUGGGUUUAGAACGUCGUGAGACAGUUCGGUCCCUAUCUGCCGUGGGCGCUGGAGAACUGAGGGGGGCUGCUCCUAGUACGAGAGGACCGGAGUGGACGCAUCACUGGUGUUCGGGUUGUCAUGCCAAUGGCACUGCCCGGUAGCUAAAUGCGGAAGAGAUAAGUGCUGAAAGCAUCUAAGCACGAAACUUGCCCCGAGAUGAGUUCU